AAGGAUCAUUAGUGAAUAAUAGGGUGUCUAAUUUAACUUAGAGCCCGAUCUUCCACUUUCUAACUUUGUGCAUCUGUAUAUGGCGAGCAGUCUUCGGAUUGUGAGCCUUCACUUAUAAACACCAGUCUAUGAAUGUAAAAUUUUUAUAACAAAUAAAAACUUUCAACAACGGAUCUCUUGGCUCUCGCAUCGAUGAAGAACGCAGCGAAAUGCGAUACGUAAUGUGAAUUGCAGAAUUCAGUGAAUCAUCGAAUCUUUGAACGCAUCUUGCGCUCUCUGGUAUUCCGGAGAGCAUGUCUGUUUGAGUGUCAUGAAUUCUUCAACCCAAUUGUUUAUUAAAAGCAGUUGGUGUUUGGAUUCUGAGCGCUGCUGGCUUCGGCCUAGCUCGUUCGUAAUACAUCAGCAUCCCUAAUACAAGUUUGGAUUGACUUGGCGUAAUAGACUAUUCGCUAAGGAUUCAAUGUUCGCAUUGAGCCAACUUAAUUAAGGAAGCUUCUAGUCACAAAGUCUACCUUUAGAUUAGAUCUCAAAUCAGGCAGGAUUACCCGCUGAACUUAA
rnacentral:rRNA from 1 species